rnacentral:siRNA from 1 species
CGAUUUGUAAACCAUGUUAACCA